rnacentral:rRNA from 1 species
GACGAACGCUGGCGGCGUGCUUAACACAUGCAAGUCGAACGGAAAGGCCCUGCUUUUGUGGGUUGCUCGAGUGGCGAACGGGUGAGUAACACGUGAGUAACCUGCCCUUGACUUUGGGAUAACUUCAGGAAACUGGGGCUAAUACCGGAUAGGAGCUCCUGCUGCAUGGUGGGGGUUGGAAAGUUUCGGCGGUUGGGGAUGGACUCGCGGCUUAUCAGCUUGUUGGUGGGGUAGUGGCUUACCAAGGCUUUGACGGGUAGCCGGCCUGAGAGGGUGACCGGCCACAUUGGGACUGAGAUACGGCCCAGACUCCUACGGGAGGCAGAAGUGGGGAAUAUUGCACAAUGGGCGGAAGCCUGAUGCAGCAACGCCGCGUGCGGGAUGACGGCCUUCGGGUUGUAAACCGCUUUCGCCUGUGACGAAGCGUGAGUGACGGUAAUGGGUAAAGAAGCACCGGCUAACUACGUG